GUCGAGCGAAUGGAUUAAGAGCUUGCUCUUAUGAAGUUAGCGGCGGACGGGUGAGUAACACGUGGGUAACCUGCCCAUAAGACUGGGAUAACUCCGGGAAACCGGGGCUAAUACCGGAUAACAUUUUGAACUGCAUGGUUCGAAAUUGAAAGGCGGCUUCGGCUGUCACUUAUGGAUGGACCCGCGUCGCAUUAGCUAGUUGGUGAGGUAACGGCUCACCAAGGCAACGAUGCGUAGCCGACCUGAGAGGGUGAUCGGCCACACUGGGACUGAGACACGGCCCAGACUCCUACGGGAGGCAGCAGUAGGGAAUCUUCCGCAAUGGACGAAAGUCUGACGGAGCAACGCCGCGUGAGUGAUGAAGGCUUUCGGGUCGUAAAACUCUGUUGUUAGGGAAGAACAAGUGCUAGUUGAAUAAGCUGGCACCUUGACGGUACCUAACCAGAAAGCCACGGCUAACUACGUGCCAGCAGCCGCGGUAAUACGUAGGUGGCAAGCGUUAUCCGGAAUUAUUGGGCGUAAAGCGCGCGCAGGUGGUUUCUUAAGUCUGAUGUGAAAGCCCACGGCUCAACCGUGGAGGGUCAUUGGAAACUGGGAGACUUGAGUGCAGAAGAGGAAAGUGGAAUUCCAUGUGUAGCGGUGAAAUGCGUAGAGAUAUGGAGGA
rnacentral:rRNA from 1 species